rnacentral:rRNA from 1 species
CCUACGGGUGACAGCAGUGAGGAAUAUUGGUCAAUGGACGAGAGUCUGAACCAGCCAAGUAGCGUGAAGGAUGACUGCCCUAUGGGUUGUAAACUUCUUUUAUAUGGGAAUAAAAUGUUCCACGUGUGGGAUUUUGUAUGUACCAUAUGAAUAAGGAUCGGCUAACUCCGUGCCAGCAGCCGCGGUAAUACGGAGGAUCCGAGCGUUAUCCGGAUUUAUUGGGUUUAAAGGGAGCGUAGGUGGAUUGUUAAGUCAGCUGUGAAAGUCCGCGGCUCAACCGUGAGAUUGCAGUUGAAACUGGCAGUCUUGAGUACAGUAGAGGUGGGAGGAAUGCGUGGUGUAGCGGUGAAAUGCUUAGAUAUCACGAAGAACUCCGAUUGCGAAGGCAGCUCACGGAACUGCGACUGACGCUGAGGCUCGAAAGUGUGGGUAUCGAACAGGAUUAGAUACCCCUGUAGUC